GACCCCGGGCUGGGCAAGGGCACUGGGGAGUGGGGGUGAUGGGGCAGGCACCCCUCAUCCCCAGGGCAGCAGGAGGCACGGGGAGGUGUUGAUACGAAGGGGCUGCAAUGAGUGAGGGAUCUGGGCACCCUCAGUGCUGCCUGAGGAGUGAACUGAGCCAUGGCCCCUUCCCUCCCUGCCAGGACAAUCCCAGAGAUGGCAGAAGGCACAGGGAAAUGCAAAGGGAAGAAGCACUUUUGCACUGAGCCCCCAGGUUGUUGUGGCUGGGCUGAGCACCUGGGUUUUAUUGCCCCUCUGCUGCCCGGGUGGUCCCCUCCCUGCAGGAGCAGGGCAAGGGGGGCUGUCUCUGCCCUGGCAUAGCAGGGGCACGGGGUGCAGCCGUCCUGCUCAGGGGGGCCCUCGGUGGAGCAGCAAGGAUGCACUUUAUCAGAGCAGGGAAGCGGUGCCGUGGGUGCUCCAGGAUGCAGGAAUCCCCCGGGAGAACGCGUCUGGAUAAUCAUGAGGAGUGUGAUGGAGGAGAGCAGGCUUCUCCCCCCACAUCUCCUCUCCUCUCCUGCCCCUGCCUUCCCUUGUGAUGCACUUUGAGUGGACGAGGAUGGGGGUUCAAGCUGUGGCUCCAGCUCCCUGGGAAUCAAAAACUGCUUCAGCCCCUUCAGCCCAAGUUGCACCAGGUUCUGCCUCUCACAGCUGCUGGGAAUGCAGGCAGGGCAGGCAGGGGGAUGCCACUCACCUCCAUGCAUGGCCAGGCCACCUUUGUCACACGCACAAGAAGAGCAAAUGCAUCAUCACCCGCCUGGGGUUUGCUGGAGGGGAGACUGGGCUAGAACAGGGAGGAGAUGGGGCUUCUCCCAGGGUUUCACCCCUCUCCCAAAUCAGGCAAUAAAACAGUGUUUCCUUCUCACUGUGUGUGGACACCAUUUGUCCUGUCCCUCUGCCACGGGCAGCCCUGGGAUCUCUGAGUGUGUCCUUCCCCCUGUGGUUUUCCAGUCCUCACCGUGUCCACCCAUGCAGUGGGGGCUGCACAGUAGGGUGCCUGUGAGGUACAGGGCUGAGGGGACCAUGCAGAGAGGUGCAGCCAUUGAACCCCACCUUUACACACGACCACAGGUGUGAGCUGUGCUUCCCCUGGGGCAGUUUGCCAAAACAAGCUGCAGGUAACCCCUCCAAGGCUGAGGGAGGGUAUAUCUGUCGUGGUAGCUGGUCUGGGUGGUGUUUGUCUGGGUCCUUCUGCCUUGCUGGCAGGAGGCUGAGAAGCAGGACCAGGGCACUGCUGCCCACAGCUGCAGCCUGGCAGGAACCAGGCAGGGUGGAGGUGAGGCCCUGGGCCCUCCAGGCUGGGCUGCACACGCAGGUAAGUGCCCCGCAGGGACGGGGUGCCAGGCCCCAGCUCGCUGCUGGCACUCACCAGUGCCCACAGAGGGUCCCAGGAGCUGUUGGGGCAGGAGGAGAUGUUGUGAUUGAUGUCGGUGUUUCUGAGGUGCCAGCUGUACUCGUUGGAUUUCACACAUCAAUAAAACCUAUAUUUAUAGUGUA